GAAUGCUGACAUAAGUAACGAUAAAGCGGGUGAAAAGCCCGCUCGCCGGAAGACCAAGGGUUCCUGUCCAACGUUAAUCGGGGCAGGGUGAGUCGACCCCUAAGGCGAGGCCGAAAGGCGUAGUCGAUGGGAAACAGGUUAAUAUUCCUGUACUUGGUGUUACUGCGAAGGGGGGACGGAGAAGGCUAUGUUGGCCGGGCGACGGUUGUCCCGGUUUAAGCGUGUAGGCUGGUUUUCCAGGCAAAUCCGGAAAAUCAAGGCUGAGGCGUGAUGACGAGGCACUACGGUGCUGAAGCAACAAAUGCCCUGCUUCCAGGAAAAGCCUCUAAGCAUCAGGUAACAUCAAAUCGUACCCCAAACCGACACAGGUGGUCAGGUAGAGAAUACCAAGGCGCUUGAGAGAACUCGGGUGAAGGAACUAGGCAAAAUGGUGCCGUAACUUCGGGAGAAGGCACGCUGAUAUGUAGGUGAAGCGACUUGCUCGUGGAGCUGAAAUCAGUCGAAGAUACCAGCUGGCUGCAACUGUUUAUUAAAAACACAGCACUGUGCAAACACGAAAGUGGACGUAUACGGUGUGACGCCUGCCCGGUGCCGGAAGGUUAAUUGAUGGGGUUAGCGCAAGCGAAGCUCUUGAUCGAAGCCCCGGUAAACGGCGGCCGUAACUAUAACGGUCCUAAGGUAGCGAAAUUCCUUGUCGGGUAAGUUCCGACCUGCACGAAUGGCGUAAUGAUGGCCAGGCUGUCUCCACCCGAGACUCAGUGAAAUUGAACUCGCUGUGAAGAUGCAGUGUACCCGCGGCAAGACGGAAAGACCCCGUGAACCUUUACUAUAGCUUGACACUGAACAUUGAGCCUUGAUGUGUAGGAUAGGUGGGAGGCUUUGAAGUGUGGACGCCAGUCUGCAUGGAGCCGACCUUGAAAUACCACCCUUUAAUGUUUGAUGUUCUAACGUUGGCCCGUUAUCCGGGUUGCGGACAGUGUCUGGUGGGUAGUUUGACUGGGGCGGUCUCCUCCUAAAGAGUAACGGAGGAGCACGAAGGUUGGCUAAUCCUGGUCGGACAUCAGGAGGUUAGUGCAAUGGCAUAAGCCAGCUUGACUGCGAGCGUGACGGCGCGAGCAGGUGCGAAAGCAGGUCAUAGUGAUCCGGUGGUUCUGAAUGGAAGGGCCAUCGCUCAACGGAUAAAAGGUACUCCGGGGAUAACAGGCUGAUACCGCCCAAGAGUUCAUAUCGACGGCGGUGUUUGGCACCUCGAUGUCGGCUCAUCACAUCCUGGGGCUGAAGUAGGUCCCAAGGGUAUGGCUGUUCGCCAUUUAAAGUGGUACGCGAGCUGGGUUUAGAACGUCGUGAGACAGUUCGGUCCCUAUCUGCCGUGGGCGCUGGAGAACUGAGGGGGGCUGCUCCUAGUACGAGAGGACCGGAGUGGACGCAUCACUGGUGUUCGGGUUGUCAUGCCAAUGGCACUGCCCGGUAGCUAAAUGCGGAAGAGAUAAGUGCUGAAAGCAUCUAAGCACGAAACUUGCCCCGAGAUGAGUUCUCCCUGACUCCCUGAGAGUCCUGAAGGAACGUUGAAGACGACGACGUUGAUAGGCCGGGUGUGUAAGCGCAGCGAUGCGUUGAGCUAACCGGUACUAAUGAACCGUGAG
rnacentral:rRNA from 1 species